rnacentral:misc_RNA from 1 species
UUUCUCUCGAGAGUUAGUUAACGCACAUCACAUUUUUUUUAUUACGGUCUCUGAUACAGAGACGAAUAAUUUUGAUAAUUUAAGCAUCCGUAACCGUGAUCUCUUAAAAUUAUUGUGAUCUUUGCAUAGCGUGUCCUCGAAUAAAAGAAUAUAUCGUAUCAGUGUUUAUCGCCCUCAAACUGGCCUAUCGCAAUCCACUGUCGAAAAUAGGCUUCCCCAAGUUCGCACCAAACGUCCCGGUUCUCCGUAAUCCUCAUCUAGCCUCCACCGGACCCUUACGUAGAUCGUCGAUCGAGCGGGCCGGAGGGCGUCCAACACUGCAUUUGUCAACACGCGGCCUACACGUCGGACACGUCUGCUCCCUCAUCCAUCGGUCCUGCGACAUACGUAACCAGCCUACUGCUACUUCGGCUUUCUUAUUUUUGAAUUUUUAAUUAAUUCAAUUUUUUAACAAAUUAUCUAGAGUUGCAUUCAUAUUUAAAUGGAAUUGAACAAUGGAAUAGCUCCAUUGGAAAACCUAAAUAGUUUUUAUAGUAAGAAUUUUUACACAAUAGAUUGAAGUAAAUGGCUUUUAGUAUUUAAGUAAAUUUCGUACGAAGAUUAUGUUGCGAAUUUUUUGUUCACUAACUUUGUCCGACAGAGGUCAAUACGUAAAUAAUGAACGGAAAUGAUAAAAAUUAUAUAAAGUAGCCUUUAUGAAUCUGGAACUUAUGUAGUUUGCCAAUAUGUGUACCUAUUAUGACCGAACUGUAUCAUACAUGCAUCACUGUUAUGAUGCUAAAAAAAAAUUACUAUCGAUUAGAUUUUUGAUGUUUUCAACCUAGACAAGUUUACGGUAGCACGAAAGGGCUUUUUAAAAAAAAUUACAAUAAUUACACUAAAACUAUUUAAUUAAAAAUUAUUUAAAAUUACAAUGGACACGUCCGAACAGAAUUACAUGCUCAUUAAGCAUUUACUUCUAUUGUUCUCAUGCUUUGGUCCAACAUAACUACCUCGUUUGUUGUAUAUUUCAUUGUGCUUUUUAACAAAUUUUGUUCAUUUUUUUUUUUUGAAAGAUUAUUGUAGCUAGAAAAAUGCAUAGGGAACAAAUAAAAUGUACGUGAAAAUACAAAAUCUUAUGCCUUAUAUACGGCAACAAAACAUGUUAAGCAUCUACGUUACUAUAGUCAUUGAAAUAUUAUGUGAUAUACGAUGAAUAUUUGUUAUAUUCGUAUCACUAAUAAACAAACAUACUUAUCCAAAUAAAGAAUUGUAUCAUUUUAAUGUGAAACAAAAAGUGAAUGCGAUUAGGUUAUAUGUGCAUAUUCCUUGGCGAUACACCGUUAGUUAUAACCUAUUGUGUAUUUCAACCAAAGAGAUAAACUUUAAUAAAAAUGUAAGAAAAGAAAAUUACU